GAGUUUGAUCAUGGCUCAGGACGAACGCUGGCGGCGUGCUUAACACAUGCAAGUCGAACGAUGAACCACUUCGGUGGGGAUUAGUGGCGAACGGGUGAGUAACACGUGGGCAAUCUGCCCUUCACUCUGGGACAAGCCCUGGAAACGGGGUCUAAUACCGGAUAUGAGCCUGGGAGGCAUCUCCUGGGUUGUAAAGCUCCGGCGGUGAAGGAUGAGCCCGCGGCCUAUCAGCUUGUUGGUGAGGUAAUGGCUCACCAAGGCGACGACGGGUAGCCGGCCUGAGAGGGCGACCGGCCACACUGGGACUGAGACACGGCCCAGACUCCUACGGGAGGCAGCAGUGGGGAAUAUUGCACAAUGGGCGAAAGCCUAAUGCAGCGACGCCGCGUGAGGGAUGACGGCC
rnacentral:rRNA from 1 species